rnacentral:rRNA from 1 species
CCUACGAGUGGCAGCAGUGAGGAAUAUUGGUCAAUGGGCGCGAGCCUGAACCAGCCAAGUAGCGUGAAGGAUGACUGCCCUACGGGUUGUAAACUUCUUUUAUAAAGGAAUAAAGUGAGGCACGUGUGCCUUUUUGUAUUUACUUUAUGAAUAAGGAUCGGCUAACUCCGUGCCAGAAGCCGCGGUAAUACGGAGGAUCCGAGCGUUAUCCGGAUUUAUUGGGUUUAAAGGGAGCGUAGAUGGGAUGUUAAGUCAGUUGUGAAAGUUUGGGGCUCAACCGUAAAAUUGCAAUUGAUACUGGCAGCCUUGAGUACAGGUGAGGUAGGCGGAAUUCGUGGGGUAGCGGUGAAAUGCGUAGAUAUCACGAAGAACUCCGAUUGCGAAGGCAGCCUACUAAACUGCCACUGACAUUGAUGCUCGAAAGUGUGGGUAUCAAACAGGAUUAGAUACCCCGGUAGUC